GACCGGAUCGGCUUGAUACUUUUUGGAUCUACUGGAUGGCUUGGAUCUUGCUUGUGUGUGGAGGGGCUAGGAUUUACAUGCAUCUAUAAUUUGCAAACCUCCUGUGAAGAAAGCCUAUUAUUGACAAUACUUUUACCUGCUCUUAUAUCAUGUCAUUUACAAGAUCCAUGCAUUUCCCUCUCGAAGUCGCUGGACAAAGUUGCAGAGGGAGUUUCUCUAGCUCUGAAAUUGCAAUCUGACAAUCUCUGAGACGAAGGUAUAACUUACCACGUGUAUAUAUGAUGCGCCAUGUUGUUUUAAAACACACUCUCGGUCAAUGAUGUUAUCCAUUUCAGUUUUGUAGUUCUGGCCAGCAACAAGUUUUCCAUUCCUUCUACCAUGUUAUUGGUAGAGCUCGGAAUUGGAAAUUGAAACAUGGCUGAAUAAAAGGGCAUGGAGAAAUUUAAGUUCCACAAUGCCCUUUUGUGUUGGGUGUAGUCUAGGGGGUCUGAGAUCAUGUCCCCUGAUCAGCCUCUUUAUCAUCCAGUUUUGUCUUAUUUCAGUCAUGCAUGUAUCACCCUUGCUUUUACUUGGAUGCAUUUGGUUGAAAAGUGAAUUGAAUUGCAAAAUGAGGGGGAAAAUUGGUAAUUAAGGAAUUUUCAUAGCAUCAGCAAUGAGGAAGUAGCCCUUGAGCUGCAGUUACUUCCAGGUUUCAAAUUGCAAAGAAAUGAAAUCACCAUUUGGGUUUCUCUUGUGUUAUUAGACUAGCAAUUGUUGCAAUUCAAUGGUGCACCCAAACGAUCCCUUUGACCUUUUAAUGAUUCUACCUAAUCAUGUAAUUGUUGAUUGAUUC